UCCUCGGUGGCUCAGAUGGAUAGAGCGUCUGCCAUGUAAGCAGGAGAUCCCGAGUUCGAAUCCCGGUCGGGGAA
rnacentral:tRNA from 1 species